rnacentral:rRNA from 1 species
UACGGGGGGGGCAAGCGUUGUUCGGAAUUACUGGGCGUAAAGGGCUCGUAGGCGGCCAACUAAGUCAGACGUGAAAUCCCUCGGCUUAACCGGGGAACUGCGUCUGAUACUGGAUGGCUUGAGUUUGGGAGAGGGAUGCGGAAUUCCAGGUGUAGCGGUGAAAUGCGUAGAUAUUGGGAAGAACACCGGUGGCGAAGGCGGCGACCUGGUCCUUGACUGACGCUGAGGCGCGAAAGCGUGGGGAGCAAACAGG